GAAACCCACAAAAAAACAGAGAAGAAAAUGGCGAGCGGUCCUCCGUCGGCGGCAGCCGGAGACCCCAAAGUGGAUCUGGUGAAGCAGAUUCGCGGCCACGAGGUUGCAAUUGCAGAGCUCAAUACUCUUUCUUCGUCCCGGACAGUGUAUCAGAAGAAUGGAAACUUACUUUUCCGUACGACCAUCCAGAAAGCAUCGGCAUCUGAACAGAAACAAUUAGAUUUGGCUAAAGCAAUCCUAGGAAAGUUGAAUACUUCUUGAUACGGCUUGAACUACAUUGAUGCUUCUGCAACUUUGUAAGGAUACAGAGCUGGUGCAUUGUUGAAUAGAGUCCUGCAUUCUGAUGGUUGUGGGGACACCUUCCUUUUAUUCUUUUUAUUUUUUUUCCUCAGGAGCUUAAGCUGAAGCUCUCAUACAGCUAAUUUGUGUGCUUUGCAUCCCAAUUAUACAUUACCUAAAUUAAAAUAUAAUAUUAAUAUUUUAUUUUGAUUCACAUUUAAGCAAUAAUUUAUUUAUUGACAUAAGGGUAUAAACAGGAGUAUCAACAUUAUAUUGUGAUAUAUAUAUA